ACCUGAGAGGGUAAUCGGCCACAUUGGGACUGAGACACGGCCCAGACUCCUACGGGAGGCAGCAGUAGGGAAUCUUCCACAAUGGACGCAAGUCUGAUGGAGCAACGCCGCGUGAGUGAAGAAGGGUUUCGGCUCGUAAAGCUCUGUUGUUAAAGAAGAACGUGGGUAAGAGUAACUGUUUACCCAGUGACGGUAUUUAACCAGAAAGCCACGGCUAACUACGUGCCAGCAGCCGCGGUAAUACGUAGGUGGCAAGCGUUAUCCGGAUUUAUUGGGCGUAAAGCGAGCGCAGGCGGUCUUUUAAGUCUAAUGUGAAAGCCUUCGGCUCAACCGAAGAAGUGCAUUGGAAACUGGGAGACUUGAGUGCAGAAGAGGACAGUGGAACUCCAUGUGUAGCGGUGAAAUGCGUAGAUAUAUGGAAGAACACCAGUGGCGAAGGCGGCUGUCUGGUCUGCAACUGACGCUGAGGCUCGAAAGCAUGGGUAGCGAACAGGAUUAGAUACCCUGGUAGUCCAUGCCGUAAACGAUGAUUACUAAGUGUUGGAGGGUUUCCGCCCUUCAGUGCUGCAGCUAACGCAUUAAGUAAUCCGCCUGGGGAGUACGACCGCAAGGUUGAAACUCAAAAGAAUUGACGGGGGCCCGCACAAGCGGUGGAGCAUGUGGUUUAAUUCGAAGCUACGCGAAGAACCUUACCAGGUCUUGACAUCUUCUGACAGUCUAAGAGAUUAGAGGUUCCCUUCGGGGACAGAAUGACAGGUGGUGCAUGGUUGUCGUCAGCUCGUGUCGUGAGAUGUUGGGUUAAGUCCCGCAACGAGCGCAACCCUUAUUACUAGUUGCCAGCAUUAAGUUGGGCACUCUAGUGAGACUGCCGGUGACAAACCGGAGGAAGGUGGGGACGACG
rnacentral:rRNA from 1 species